rnacentral:rRNA from 1 species
AACAAGGUCUCCGUUGGUGAACCAGCGGAGGGAUCAUUACAGAGUUGCAAAACUCCCACAAACCAUCGCGAAUCUUACCCGUACGGUUGCCUCGGCGCUGGCGGUCCGGAAGGCCCUCGGGCCUCCCCGGAUCCUCGGGUCUCCCGCUCGCGGGAGGCUGCCCGCCGGAGUGCCGAAACCAAACUCUUGAUAUUUUAUGUCUCUCUGAGUAAACUUUUAAAUAAGUCAAAACUUUCAACAACGGAUCUCUUGGUUCUGGCAUCGAUGAAGAACGCAGCGAAAUGCGAUAAGUAAUGUGAAUUGCAGAAUUCAGUGAAUCAUCGAAUCUUUGAACGCACAUUGCGCUCGCCAGUAUUCUGGCGAGCAUGCCUGUUCGAGCGUCAUUUCAACCAUCAAGCUCUGCUUGCGUUGGGGAUCCGCGUCUGACGCGGUCCCUCAAAAACAGUGGCGGGCUCGCUAGUCACACCGAGCGUAGUAACUCUACAUCGCUAUGGUCGUGCGGCGGGUUCUUGCCGUAAAACCCCCCAAUUUUAAGGUGACCUCGGAUCAGGUAG